rnacentral:lncRNA from 1 species
GUCCGCCACCGGUGGUGCGAGCUCGUGGUGAAGCACAGGCACGCCCAGGCGCACAGGCACGUGGAGAGGUUCCUUCUGGAGGACCAGGUGAGGAGUGCGGCCUGCCUGGCCUCUCCCGGCCACGCCCUCUGCACAGCGCCCGGGCUCCUCGCGGCUCUCACAAGCCCAGGCUUCAGGCCCAGGUGGCUCUGCAGCCUCUUUCACUUGCCCCGUAAGCCUGUCCCCUUGCAGUGCCUCUGAGGCAGAGAGGUACGCACCCCAAGUGCUCCUGGGGUCUGGCCUGCCGUGGACCACUGACCUCUCUGCAGAGCAAGUGUACUGCAGGUCUCCUGGCCAAGGUCAUGGCACUGCACUCGGGGGUCACAGGAAGUGUGUGUGCAAACGUGUUGGGGGAUGUUCUCCCUGGCCGCCUCUGAUGUCCCCGUAGGACAUCCUGGGGAUCACCACCCUGGGCACCUACUGGACCCUGUACCCUCCCACCCCCCAGCAGUGCCUCUGAACCAGCUGCCUGCCCCGUGCUGUGGGCUCCUGGGAUGGAGCCGCUGUCCACUGGGUGCAGAGUGGGCAUGGUGUGGAGAAGGGGACUUCUGUGGGGUCUCACCAGGGCACGGCCAGUGAGUGAGCAGCUCAUCCCACUGAGAGCAGCAUAAAACCUGUGGCAAAGAAAUGUCACUCUUGCCCAGUGGAGCAGGAGCGCAGAAGGGCAGGUGUGCACGCACCUUGGCUCUUCCUGAAGGUGGCUCCUCGCAGCUCCCACAAGCCCUGGCUUCAGGCCCAGGUGGCUCCUCACCAUGCCAGGGCCUCCUGUCGGAGCCUCUCAGAAGUGCACCUUCCAGUCCCUGACCACUGGGUUUUUAUCUUGUGCUGUCUUGCGGCACUUCUUUUAACUUGCUCCAGCAGAACGCAUCCUGGGGUGACCAGGGGUGGGACGCACAGCAGGCAGAGGCCCAGGGCCCCAUCUUGCAGAAGCAGCUGGUGGCUGUGAGUGAGUGGGGCAGUGCAGAUGGGGUCUCCACAGCACCGUCCUCAGAACAGGGCACCAGUGUCUGCUGCCGUGGGAAGUGGUCAGGCAGGCAAAGGGACAGGCACUGGGUCCCCCUGCCCAUGGCUGCUGGGUGGUGUGCUCCUUGCUGCCCUGGUGGGUGACAGCCUUAAGGAGGAGUCACUUGGGACACUCCCUGAAGGAUCCCUGUCUCUGGGACAGACCCCCGUGUUCCCAUGGAGGUUGUUGUGGGGACCCCGGCUCCACCCCAGCCUUGCUGAUGCCAUCUCGCUGGCACCAGGGAAGCCACCAGAAUCUGUUGACAGAGGCUAUAGUAGAGGCUCAUGGGGCCUUGGUGAGAACAGGGAGGAGCCAGGCAUUGUGGCUCUGAGUUACAGGACCGCUCCCUGCUAUCGGGGAGGCCAGCACGGCUGCCCAGGGCACGGGGCUGGCAGAGGAGUGUCUGACACUGUGGCUUCUGCCCAUAGGCCAUGGGCGUGUACCUGUACGGGGAGCUGAUGGUGAGCGAGGAUGCCCGGCAGCAGCAGCUGGCCCGCAGGUGCUUCGAGCUGGCCAAGGUGCAGAUGGAUGGACCCUCAGCCGAUGUGGUAGCCCAGAUGCUGUUCUAAAGAGGUGAUUUUCUCCGUCUGUCCUGUGGUUUUGGGGACUGAACCCAGGUGCUCUGCCACGUGCCCCUCCUAGGAGCCCAGCAAACCAGGGUGCCCCAGGGUUUCAGCAGCCUGCUGCCUUGCAGGGCGGGCGGCACUUCCAGCCGAGGCAGAGAGCCCGCUGGGGAUGAGGCCAGGGUCCCUGAGCACCUCGUCUGCUGCAUGGUCACAGCAAGCACAGGCACCGUGGUAGCCCCGUGGGGUUUUCACGUUUAUAGGAACAGGGGUUGUGAGAUCAGCUCUCCCGCGGGCGCGGCCUGCCAUGGGCAGCCUGGCAGAGGCCCCGGUCCUCUCCAUGUCCACGGCCGUCCAUCCUCGGCCUGCAGCGCUUUCUCCUCCACAAGGCUCCCCAGUCCCUGCAGCCUGCACCUCGCUCAGUGCCACCCUGACUCCCUCCCCCUCACUGUGCUGCAGUCUCUGCUUAAGUGACUUCCCCGUUCCUUGUGCCUGGAGGUGGCCUGGGAGCUCUCCUUCCUGGCAGGCAGUCUUUAAACGUGGGUGUCCGCAUUCUUAAAGCGGGGGACCCCGGGGCUGAGCGCGGCCCUGGUGGUCAGGUGUGCUCUUCCUCUAACGGUCAGAACCAUUUGUCCUCUUGGGUUUUCUUCAGAGUCUUAAAUAAUAUGCCUAAUGUUGUGUCCUUUUUUUAAAAACAGCACCAGAUCUCAAGUGUCCGUCCUGCCCUAAAGCUUCCCUGUGGUUUAAUGAAUAUCUCAGGAUCCGAGUCUAGGUUCUUAGCGCUUUGCUGGACAUUUAGUUCACUGUUUUGCUCUUACCAAACCCAUUUCUGUUGACUGUUUAAAUGUCUUACUUUCCUGUAAGAACUCUGGUACUAAAGAGGAAGAGAGGUUUCUCAAGUGUGAUUGUGCUCUUCCAGAAGACUCUGGGCCCUGUUUUCCAGGAGGAGGGAACAGUAGGAGUAACUGAGGGACGCACAGUGUCAUGGUGGGACGUCAGAUGCUCCGGCUCCCCAGGGCAGGGUAGGAGCUGAGCAGGAGCCGCUGCGGGAGCCAUGGCACCACACAGGAGGAGUUGCUGUGGCAUGGCCAGCUCUCCAGGGGCCACCGAUUUGGGAACUGAACCCGGUGCUCUGCCACUGAGCUACAUCCCCAGCCUUUUUGUUCUUUGAGGCAAGAUUUGGCUGAGUUGCCUGGGCUCGCCCAGACCUGUGGUUCUUCUGCCUCAGCCUCCUGAGUGACUCUUCAGUCCUCCGAGUGCCAGCUCCUUGUGACUUCAUUGUUAUCGUCGUUUAUUUUUGUCCCUAAGCAGGCCGACGAGUCGUCCUGCUCCAGAGCUGCCACGCUUUGCGCAGUCUUUGUUCCUGUCCCUGCUCUUGUAGCCAAACCCAGGGACCACAGCAGACGCCUGUGUCCCUGCUGAGCCAGGGCUGCUCCCGAGUGGCACCCUCAGCGAGGAAGCUCUUGCUGCCCUGGGAGAGGCCCCCAGAGAUGUCCCGGGCAGGCCACUUAGAUCUGAGGCGAGAAAGCACAUGUCUCCAAGAAUCAGAAGCAGGAGGCUGAGAACCGGGCAGGACAGCCGGCGGAGUUCUGCCCAGGCUGGCCGAUGGGCGCCCACCUCCCGUUCCAGAGCUGCCCUGGCCUUCCGGGUCCUCUGGGUGCCGAGCUGGGUGGCGCGAACCCCUGGGCGUCUGGAUGGCACUGUCGGCCGGUGCGCCGGCCUGGCCGUGUGCGGCCUGCCCAGGGAGCGCCCGCACCGCGCUGCUCUCGAGUGCCCUGGCUGCUUGGGUUCCUGGCAUGCUGAUUUGUGACUUAAGAUUAAAAUCACAUUGCCAGGGAUUACCACGCAACCACGACCUUGGCUGCGCCCCAACCUGUAGUUGCCCUCAGCCUGCCGCGUGGAGAACAGAGGCGCCUCGUGGCCCUUGGAGACCAAAGACGCCCACGGCCAGGAAGACGCUCGCCGGCCCUUUACCUUUGCCCGCGGUGACCUCUCUGACGAGGUGCAGAGCUUAGCUGAUGGUGAACAGUGAUUGGUUUCCGCCUUGUUCACAGUGGCUAAGUUCUGCACCUGAAGAGAAGGUGAGACGGGCGGCUGAGUCGGAGCCACUGUGCAAGGCCUGGCUGACGGGGACGGUGCUGCUGAGCGCCCGGCCAGUGUGGAGCACGACCCUGGAGGAGACCCCUGCCCCGGGCGCUCUGCCCGCUGCCAGGGCUGCGGCAGAGCACCGGCUGCCCAGUCUCCUGCAGACCCGUCUGCCCACUUGCUAGGCUGUCCGCAAGGGUCAGGUACCAAAGGUCGCAGGCGCUGUCCUUCUAAAACUGCGUGCAGUGAAGCCACGUUGUGACUGUCACAUUUGUGGGGGGCUCUGUUGUCACUUCGCAGGCGCCGUGAACUCUCUCUUGUGUUUGCAGCCGCUGGUGGACAUGGCACGAGCUCCAGCCGAGGCACUGCUUCUCCGGGCUGUCAGUUGGACCCGCCCUCCGGUGCCUACUGAGCUGA